rnacentral:rRNA from 1 species
CCUCCGUAUUUCAGCAGUUUGUGCUAUUGCACAAUGGGUGAAACCCUUAUGCAGCGACGCCGCGUGUGGGAAGACGGUCCUCUGGAUUGUAAACCACUGUCCCCAGGGACGAAAAUGACGGUACCUGGGGAGGAAGCUCCGGCUAACUACGUGCCAGCAGCCGCGGUAAUACGUAGGGAGCGAGCGUUGUCCGGAAUUACUGGGUGUAAAGGGAGCGUAGGCGGGGAUGCAAGUUGGGUGUCAAAACUACCGGCUCAACUGGUAGUCGCACUCAAAACUGCAGCUCUUGAGUGAAGUAGAGGCAGGCGGAAUUCCUAGUGUAGCGGUGAAAUGCGUAGAUAUUAGGAGGAACACCAGUGGCGAAGGCGGCCUGCUGGGCUUUUACUGACGCUGAGGCUCGAAAGUGUGGGGAGCAAACAGGAUUAGAUACCCGAGUAGUC